rnacentral:misc_RNA from 1 species
AACGCAUCUUGCGCUCCUUGGCAUUCCGAGGAGCACGCCUGUUUGAGUGUCAUUAAAUUCCUCAAAUCCUCCAAUCUUGCCCACCCAGGGCUGGAGUGGUUGGUUUGGAUCGUUGGAGGCUUCUGAAUGCAGGCUCGCUUCGAAGGGCCUGCUCCUCUGAAAUGCAUUAGCAAUGGCCGUGGCGUCGUCGUUGGCAUGGUAAAAAUACUUGUUAUUUUCUGCCACUUGACACAGACAACCACCUCCCAUGCUUCUAAUCUGGCCACCCGUUUUCUCGGUGCCCUUGAUGACCAUUUUGACCUCAAAUCAGGUGGGACUACCCGCUGAACUUAA